GCUGGACAAAGAAAAGCCAUUCGUAUAUCCUCGGGUAAUAUGGUCCUGAAAGUAUCUACCGGUGCACCGUAAACGCACUGACUAUGAAGGCGAAAUCUGUUCGU
rnacentral:ncRNA from 2 species